CGGCGAGUGAAGCGGCAAUAGCUCAAAUUUGAAAGCUGGCCCCUUCGGGGUCCGCGUUGUAAUUUGUAGAGGAUGAUUCGGCGAGGGCUCCCGUCUAAGUCCCUUGGAACAGGGCGUCAUAGAGGGUGAGAAUCCCGUAUGUGAUGGGCUGCCUUAGCCAUGUGAAUCUCCUUCGACGAGUCGAGUUGUUUGGGAAUGCAGCUCUAAAUGGGAGGUAAAUUUCUUCUAAAGCUAAAUACCGGCCAGAGACCGAUAGCGCACAAGUAGAGUGAUCGAAAGAUGAAAAGCACUUUGGAAAGAGAGUUAAAAAGUACGUGAAAUUGUUGAAAGGGAAGCGCUUGCAGCCAGACUUGUCCGCAGUUGCUCAGCUUGUCUCCUGACAGGCGUACUCUUCUGCGGCCAGGCCAGCAUCAGUUCGGGCGGUCGGAUAAAGACCUGGGGAAUGUAGCUCCUCUCGGGGAGUGUUAUAGCCCUGGGUGCAAUGCGGCCAGCCUGGACUGAGGAUCUCGCUUCGGCUAGGAUGCUGGCGUAAUGGCUGUAAGCGGC
rnacentral:rRNA from 2 species